CAUGGACGGGGGAAGGAGAUAGC
rnacentral:miRNA from 1 species